AAUGACCUCUCCGUAGGUGAACCUGCGGAAGGAUCAUUA
rnacentral:rRNA from 1 species